rnacentral:rRNA from 1 species
UACGUAGGUGGCAAGCGUUGUCCGGAAUUAUUGGGCGUAAAGCGCGCGCAGGCGGUCUCUUAAGUCUGAUGUGAAAGCCCACGGCUCAACCGUGGAGGGUCAUUGGAAACUGGGAGACUUGAGUGUAGGAGAGGAAAGUGGAAUUCCACGUGUAGCGGUGAAAUGCGUAGAGAUGUGGAGGAACACAAGUGGCGAAGGCGACUUUCUGGCCUAUAACUGACGCUGAGGCGCGAAAGCGUGGGGAGCAAACAGG